GAUCAUGGCUCACUGAAGCCUCAAACUCCUGGGCUCCAGCGAUCCUCCCGCUUCAGCCUCCCAAGUCACUGGGAUUGAGUGAGCUUUCAUUUAAGACACAAACUUAAACACUAUUCUUGAGUUUUCUCUCUCAGACCCAACACCAGUCCACUGGGGUCCAGCAAGCUUCACGUUCUGCAGGUGUCCCGAGCUGAUCCCUUCUCGCCCCUCACCCCGGUGCCAGUUGCUGGUCCCCUCUCCCUUCCCCCAGCUGCCCUCCCGACCACACCCCACAUUUCCUGGACCAAACAGUGAUCCUUAAGAAGACGGCAUCAUUUACAUCAUGCCACUCCCUUUCUCAAAAUUCUUCACCAUCUUUCCUUCCAACUAGGAGCUCAAACCCAAAUCCUGAAACAAGCACGCCCCAGGUUUUCAACCCCAAAUUCCUAAACAAGCACGCCCCAGGUUUUCAAACCCAAAUCCCUAAACAAGCACGCCCCAGGUUUUCAGAGCCACACUGGCGUUUUCAGCUGCAAACUCCCCCACCCACCACCCACCAUUCUGCUUGGGUUGUCAGAAAAUUGGCCAAAUUCUCUUAUUCAUUCUACUAUUUUAAAAUUUCUAUGUUCACAAUGAUAUGAUCUAAAACUGCAGAUGAUAUCCAUCUUCCUUGCUGUUUUCCUUCCGAUCCUUUUGCUUAGUUUUUUCACCUUGUUUUUCCGGGACCCCCUGCUGCUGACGCCAAUGCUGGGGUCUCGGGUGUUCCUUCUCAUCUCGCUCCUGACUUGGGGAGGCAGAUUUCAACAUGGAACAGCAGGGAAAGCUGAUCUGAGCGACGUGCUGUGCUCCAGCACUGGGAAGCUCUCUGCAGAACCUCACUGCUGCUCUUUCCUGUCCUCUUCUUAAAAACAAUGAUUGAGUAGUUUCCUGAUAAGAAAAGCUCACCAGACUGUCUCAACUUCUAGACUCCUGCUUUGUGAGACUGCUGGCUUCCUAGAGUUGUGCCAGAUCAGCUCCCGGGAGAGGGGCUGCUGAGCAUUCUUGGCAUCCUUGGCUUCUAAAUGCAUCCAGCCAGCCUUUGCAUCUGUCUUCGCAUGGCCUCCCCCGGUGUGGACUUCUGUGCCUCUUCCCCGCUUCUCAUGAGGAGACCAGUCAUUGGAUUUGGAGCCCGCCUGACUCCCGUAUGACUUCAUCCGUCUUCUCUUGAUUACAUCCGACUGGAAUGAUGGCUUCUAUCUGUUCCAAAGAACUCCAAUAUUGCCUCAAGUGAAGAGGAAAGCCUCAUAUUUCAAGGCCACUGACUGGAGCCCAUUCACAUGCCGCAAGGGGACGGAUGCCGUUGUUUUUUUUACGGCGAAGAAAACGGUGAUGUAUUGGAGUCUCAUCACCCCGUCUCUCCAUCAUUGUUGGUGUGUGGAUCAGCCAGUCUGGCUUGUGUAGCAGGAUUAAAAUGUUAUGUCUCCCAGUGA